UACAGAGGGUGCAAGCGUUGUUCGGAAUUAUUGGGCGUAAAGGGCGCGUAGGCGGUGCUGUAAGUCUGUAGUGAAAUCUCUGGGCUCAACUCAGAGUCUGCUAUAGAAACUGCAGUGCUGGAGUGUGGGAGAGGUGAGUGGAAUUCCCGGUGUAGCGGUGAAAUGCGUAGAGAUCCGGAGGAACCCCAGAGGCGAAGGCGGCGCCCUGGCUCGCAACUGACGCUCAGACACGACAGCAUGGGGAGCGAACGGG
rnacentral:rRNA from 1 species